GAAAAUUGUAUUCUCUAUUAAAGGGUUUAGAGGAGUGCAUUCAAAUAAUACUCCUAACAGUUGGAUAAACUGUCAUGAGGGCAUUUGGCUGUGAAGUUGCAAUGAGUGGAGAGGCAUUGACAUUGUUGCUGAUGGUGACGUUCCUGGUUGAUGACAUAGAAGACUUAAUUUCCUCCUCAUGAUUAAUCUCUCAGUUGGAGAGUAUACACACUCUUACACAGAAUCCAGGACGAAAGCCCUCAUCAGAUGCUUACAUCAUGAUCUUGGACUUCCCAGCCUCCAGACUGAUGCUAUGGAAGAUCAGAAAAUAUAAAUUUAUGAACUGCUAUAAACUGUUAUUUUCUUCGUGAAGAUCAGCCUCCAGGUUCAUCACAUGACUCAGCUAAGAGAAAAUAUCCAGUGGCUCAUCGUUACCUGUGGGAGGAGGUCUGAACUCCAUGGCUUUGCAUUCAUGUUCUUGUUUGUCUCACUUCAACCUUCAUUCCCUCCAAGUCCUCGUUGUCCUCCCAGGGUUCCUCUGCUACAGCCGGGGGAGUCUGAUCCCUGCUUCCUAAAUUUCUCUGAAGCUUAUCUACACCUAUGUUUUUGCUCCACUCUUCUUUCUCCUUUAUACACCAAUUAUUCUCCUGUUUUAUCCAAAUUAUUCCCUUCUGCAAGACUCACAUCAAGUACGAUUUCUUUCUAGAUGGCUCUAACUCAGUUAUUGUUAUCUAAUUGCACACAUAUCUCUGAUUAUUGGCAUUAGUCAUUUGGAAAUUUAUUGUAUGCUGCUUUGUUUUAUUAUUUCUCUUUUUCACCUGCCUUGUGCUUACUUCCCCAAUUGGACUACAGAUUCUUUAAGGAUUAGAAGGCUAAUAUACCUACUUUUUGUCUCUAUAGCAUCUAAAACAGUAAUCUGCAGAUAUUAGGUAUUCAGAAUAUAAUUCAAUCUAGAAUCAUUUGGGAAGUUUAAUUUUUAAAGAACUCUGAAUCAUUUUUCUCAAAACUGUCAUAUAAUGCUAAAUUUUCAUUUCAGGUUCUGAGAGAUUCUUUUCUUUUAAGCCCAGCAUUUAUGACUUUCAAAUUUUAAUAAAUAGAACGCCCAAAGUUAGUCAACAGAAACGUCCUAAGUUAACGUGGGUGACCUAAGUUCCUUUGCUGUAUUUUGUACACGUUUUAUAUAUUGCAUCAAGAAAAGCAAAUGAUUGCUGAAAUGAGUAAUAAGGAGCUUCACUGGCUAGUCAAUCUUAUUCCGGAAGCAAAAACUUCCACGCAAGGCUCAUUUACAUGUGCACACUGCAAAAGGAAGUUUUGGGCAAAAUGUCUGCAGACUCUGUUCAACAUGCGUGUCCCACUUAACCACAUGAUCCUUAUAAAACCACCUAUAUCCGUUCUCAUACACAGUGUCUAGCCGUUGUGUUAAUCACUACUGACAGCUGCACUUUUUUUUUUUUAAGCUUCUGAGCUCUUUUGUGGCAAUGUGGCGGGUUGUAAGUAAAGCAAAUGCCACUUUAAAGCUAAUCAUGCUCGGUAUAACUUUUACAUACCAUCAUAAAGAGUUAUUUGCUUACAUAUUCAGCUCUUGCUCUACACUAGGAGUUCUUCGAAGGCAGGGACUAUUUGUUAUUUAUUUCUUCAUCAUCUCCAGCACAGGGCCUGACAGGUGCUUAGUGACUGUUUAUUGAAUGAGUGUUUGCAGAAAAAAUAAAUCAAGAGAUGGAGAAAUAAAGAAAUCUGAGAGGUGGAGAAAUUAAUAGUAGUCCCACAACCAAUGAAUUAAUUGAUAAAUGUUUACUAAUCUCCUACUUUUGAGCCCUGAACUUCAAAGAGAGUGAAGGGAAAUAUGAUAGAACAGACUCAUUCAGGAUCACUUUUUACUCAAUUUAAAAUGCAGGCAAGUGAAAACAGAAACUGGGAGGAAAAAGAGUUCUCCUCUAUUCUCCCCUAAUUCCUUUAUUGAGAGGAGAACUUGCAUGGAUGUUCUUGGAUUAUCCAAAGCUUGUUUCCUCCAUUCUAGACAUUAUCAUGAAAGGCACGAACUGGUGGUUUAUUUUGCCUUCUUAAUGUUAAAAAAAAUAGAAAAUUUUACACUGAUACUCAGAUUUACACUGAUACUCUGUUCUUGAAAAAUAUCUAGCAACCGUAGGUCAAAAUUUCUGCAUAGCAAUAAUUUUUUGAAACUAAACAGUGGCUGCAACCUUUAAACAGGGUACAUGGGUAGUAUCUCCAGGUUGCCAUUGUGUCCAUUUUUGAGGCACAUGGAACUUUACAAGCGCUAUCUGUAGUAAAAACCUGGGUGCUGAAAAAUUCUUGAUUGAGUUUAGAAUGGAAGGGAUUCUGGAGGGUGGGUGAAACAUGAACUAACUUAAUUUAGCUAUACACAUUAUCUAGAUAGAGUGAAAAAUACAUUGAACUUGGGAUCAUUUUUUAGUAUAUUUGCCACUGCUUAGCUGUGUUUAUAUCUUUAAACACUUGGACCUUAUUCUCUUCAUUUUUUAAAAAAGGCCACUACAGCCGCUUUCAGCUUUACCAUUUUCGAUUUUAUUUUUUAGUUACCUAUCCAACAUAAGUGGAUUAUAAGACAGGAGAGAAACCUAUAGGGAAAAAGGAAGGAGAAGAAGAAGGAGCACGUAGAAGAAGUAAACUGAUGUUAAUUUAGUCCCUACUUCAUAGCUACUCUUUUACAUUGUCUCUUGUAACCAUCACCAACCCAUCAUGAGAUAGUUAUUAUCCCUGGUUUAUAAAUGAAAAACAAGGAUUUGGAGUUUCAGAACACACUGUAGAGGCAGAAUGUGUGUCCUGGCUUCUUUGGCCCUAAACAGCGGAUACUUUCAACAGGACUUGUUGAUUUUAGUGCCUUUCCUUUCAUAGAAAAUUAGAUUCGUGGGCCAAGUAUGGUGGCUCAUACCCGUAAUCCCAGCACUUUGGGAAGCUGAGGUAGGUGGAUCGCUUGACCUUAGGAGUUUGAGACCAGCCUGCGCAGCAUGGCAAAACCUUGUCUCUACAAAAAAUGCAAAACUUAGCUGGGCAUCGUGGUGCACAGGCCUGAAGUCCCAGCCACUAGGGAGACUGAGAUGGGAGGAUUGCUUGGGCCCAGGAGGUUGAGGCUGUAGUGAACCAUGAUUGCACCACUGCACUCCAGGCUGGGGGACAGAGCAAGACCCUGUCUUAAAAAAAAAAAUUGGAUUGGCUAUACGAUAGCUUCACGUCAACUCUGAAUCAUGGGGUUAGAUUUAGAAUGCUAUAAAAAAUUAAACAAUAUAAUAAAUAUAAAGCAUCUGGCAUGAAACCAAGUAUAUAACGGAUGCUUAAUAAAUAUAAAUCUUACUCCUUGUUGGUUGCCUUAGAAAUCAUUGCACUGGCCGGGUGCAGUGGUUCACGCCUGUAAUCCCAGCACUUUGGGAGGUUGAAGCAGGUGGAUCACCUGAGGUCAGGAGUUCGAGACCAGCCUGGCCAACAUGGUGAAACCCCAUCUCUACUAAAAAUACAAAAAUUAGCCAGGUGCAGUGGUGCACACCUGUAAUCCCAGCUACUUGGGAGGCUGAGGUGGGAGAAUCACUUGAACCUGGGAGGCAGAGGUUGCAGUGAGCUGAGAUAGUGCCAUGCACUCCAGCAUGAGUGACAGAGUGAGACUCUGUCUCAAAAAAAAAAUUGCAUUUGUAUAUUUGAUGAAUUCAUAACCUUAGACAUUUAGUGGUUGAAAGAGUUAAUAGCAAUAAAAUAUGAACUAUUUACAGUGGCAAAUAUAUAUCUAUAUCUAGUGGUAUGUAUCUGUCUAUGUAUGUACCUAUAGAUAUAUAUAUCUUUGAGUUUUAAGACUUGACCAUAGCCUAUUUAAUUCAAAUAAUAUAGGAGAUAUUUCACAAUCACUGACUGGAAUCUUCCUAGCAUAGUAUAUGUAUCAGCAGAAAUCACUAUAACAAAGAGAAUCUAAUGUAAAUCUUGGCAUACUGGUUACUAAAUGUAGUUUUAUAAAGGGCAAUCUAAUAAAUGUCUUUGGUUUCCAAGGUGCUAACAACAGAUUGGAAUAAUAAACCCUUCUGUUCUCGGAAACCAGAAAUGUCUUUAGGAAUCCUGGCAAAGGAAAAAAAAAAUCUCUGUAAUCUGAUCAAGCCCAAACAUUUGCAAAAGAAAAUUAACUUACAUAACACUGGCCCAGAUCUUAUUAUUUAGAACCAUUUUUGAGAUCAUGAGGCAUAUAUUUUGCUUUACACUCAUAAACAUGUAGCCAAAGUGAAUUAAUUAUGAAUAAUUUAAAAAUGAUCAAAGUUUGUUGGUUAAUAAUGAUGAAUCAACUUGAGUUGAUGGUGGGUUCUGGGAUGAAAUGAAAGGGAAAGGACCAGGUAGAGAUGAGGAGUACUUUGACUGAUUUGAUUACACACUCAAUGGUGUGUAAUCCUACUUCCAUACUGAGAAGGCCUGUGCCGGCCCAAAGAGCCAAGCUUCCUGCCUACCAGUGGAAGUCAGGAAAGCAGUGGUAUGCUGAAGAGCAGCCAACAGCUUACCUUAUAGUACAAGCAUCCUGUGUAGGGUAAAUUAAAAAACAAGAGAUGUCUUGUUUGUUUUUUUUUGUUUUGUUUUGUUUUUGCCUGGUUCUAUUUUAUUUUUGGUCCAAAUCACACUAAGAAGGAGUCUUAAGAUUUUGAAGGGAUAAACAUCAGGAAAAUUGAUUCUUUUCUGUAACUUUAAAUUAUUUAAAGUUAGACAGCAUCUUUCUGACAAUACUUUAUUUAUGUAUCUGUAUCAACGCUUAGGGAGAAAUGAAUGUGGUUUUAUUUUUGUAUUUCAUUUAACUUGAAACUAAAAUGAAGCUAGCUAUUUUCUCCCUCCUGCCCUUCCUUCCUUCUUUCCUUCUUUCCUUCUUUCCUUCUUUCCUUCCUUCCUUCCUUCCUUCCUUCCUUCCUUCCUUCCUUCCUUCCUUCCUUCCCACUGAAGCCCCAUCAUUAAUGCAAAUCCACCCUCUCCUCUCCCCUACUUCUCUACAUCCACACAGCUGUCUUUUCCCUGCUUUGAAAAUAUGUACAUUAGCUGAACUAGAGAGCUAAGGUAUUUCACUAUUCAAAGAAGAGUAUUUCUUACAUAUAUCCAUAUCACAAGGCUUUUAAACUAUUUUUGACUCCUAUAAUUUCUAUAACUCUUUACAAGUCUGAUGUAGACACCAAUUGGAGAACUUGAGAAUUAAGUUUAAUGUAAAGGAUAUCAAAGAGAUAAAAGAUAAUAGAAUUUCAA